CAGACAGUGGAGGCAGGAAACUGCAGAAGACAGACUGAGGAGGAUGAAGUUGAGGGGAGAAGCAGGUGUGCAGGAGGACUGUGUACUCCAUGUCACUGUUGGGUGGACAGUGGAGAGGAAACCCACAAAUAAAGCUAUGCUGAGUUUAUGAGAGCUAUGAACAGAUCCAGUGUCACAGUGUCCCUGGCAGAGUCGGCAUUGUCUCAGCUGUCAGUGUUUGAUAAUACCAGAGAAGAAUAUGUGAUAAUCAAAUAUGGUUGUCACACACAUACUAUGGAGCCAGAAUACUGGGGCCAUACAAUGAAGAGAGAACCUGUGUGGAACUGUCCUUUGAAACUGGGUGUCCUUUUAGUCCCAAAAGCCUAAUCUAUCCGCACAAACUGGAACUGAGGUGUCUGGGGACAGUCUCAUGAAGCAAGAUGCAUCUGUUAGUGAACUGACUUUGGGUGUCAUCCCAGGUUUUCAGUCUCAGGUCAGUGGUUCAAGCAGAGUAUAUUGCCAUGGUAACUUAGACUGAACACCCAAACUGCUUCAAACAUACCAAAACCUGGCACCACAGCUGGCAACUCUUUGUGAAAAUCUUCACUCCCAGAAGAUCCCAUGUAGUUG